GAGCUGAAAAAUUGUGUUGAGGUUAAUUUUGAGACUGUUCACAUGCCUAUGGUGUGGUGUGAUUUAUAAUAGGAUGAAGUUGAAGACCGGAGAAAAAAUAUUGAGCAAUUGUUUAGCUUUGGUAAUAUCCAUCAAUCAAACAUGUAUGGCACUAUGAACUCCUUAUGGCAUGAGACCCACCAAGAGUACCAUGUGUACAUCAUGUGUACGACAGUCUAGCUGAAAUAGCUAGUCUAAAAAAUCUUAUGCCACCUCAUCUUCAAACGUGUUCCAAGUUUGAGAUACUUACUACAUGCAUUUCGCGAUGUCGCACGAUUGCACUCAACUUCAAUUGUUGUGAUAAAGUUUGUAUUUUUAUGUAUUGCAAAUGCACACGCAAAGUUGAACCCACGUUUACCACUUGGAUACUAUGGUAACGCUUUUGGACUAUCUCUAGCACUUAGAAGUUACAACUGCUUGUAUACUUUGUCAGAAUCAAUUAGGAUAUUCAUUGGAAUUAGUUCGAAAAGCCAAAGCUGAUGUAACUGACGAGUUUAUGAAAUCAACUGCAGAUUUGUUAGUAACAAAGAGUCGACCCAACUAUACAAAUGUCUGAACCUAUGAAGGGUCUAACGUUGCACAUAUAGGGUUCAAGGACAUUGUUUUGGAUGGGGUAAGGCACGGUGGCCAAAAGUGUUUACUAAUUUCCUUCCUUAGUCAGGUUUGUUUUAUUUGUUUUAACUUAUAUAGUUAUAUUUAUGGCUUUUGAGAAAACCAUAUACAACUUGCACUUGCUCUUUGUUGAUUGCUUGCAUACUUUAAUGUUGUCUAGGGAAUUUUGCCGGUUCAUGAUAGUAUGGAUGCCUUGGCUGCUGCUGCAUUACAUAUGUCUUUGAAGAGAUCUGAAGUUGGUAAGAUCCAUAUCCUUAAUAAUAAGUUCUUGUGCCUCUUUGUGUUAUGUGAGCUGGAAAAUUAUGGUGAGAUUAAUUUUGUGAAUGCCUAGAAACAUGCUUAUGUAUUUUAAGCCUGGAAAGCCCAACUUUCCUGGUUUUAUGACUUCUUGGCUAUAGUUUUUGUUCUUAUGUUUUAUGUCUAAAAUAACAAAAAAUUUCAUCUAUUUAUUAUUAAACCAAUGAAGGAUAGUUGUGCUAGCUUCCUCUGGGAUUAGUCCCAGUAAAUAAAAAUAAAGGUAGAACAGACCCCACAUAAAAUUUCAUCUAUUUCAUCUAUUUCCACUAAUGAACAUAACAUUUUAUUCACGCUAUUAAGGGGAGUUUUAAAGGACAUGAACAGAGAUUCCCAUGAACUUAAAAUUUUCAGCUAGCAUCAUAGGUAGGUUCCUUAUUCACGUAGUACAUUCAAUAUCUGUACCAGCUUUGUUCAUAAAUGAAUACAUAUGAAUGAAAGCAAGACUCAAAUGAUUUAUGU
rnacentral:lncRNA from 1 species